CUACGGGUCGCAGCAGUGGGGAAUAUUGCACAAUGGAGGAAACUCUGAUGCAGCAACGCCGCGUGGAGGAUGACACUUUUCGGAGCGUAAACUCCUUUUAUAUAUCAAGAUAAUGACGGUAGUAUAUGAAUAAGCACCGGCUAACUCCGUGCCAGCAGCCGCGGUAAUACGGGGGGUGCAAGCGUUACUCGGAAUCACUGGGCGUAAAGAGCAUGUAGGCGGAUUAAUAAGUUGGAAGUGAAAUCCUAUGGCUUAACCAUAGAACUGCUUCCAAAACUGUUAAUCUAGAGUAUGGGAGAGGUAGAUGGAAUUUCUGGUGUAGGGGUAAAAUCCGUAGAGAUCAGAAGGAAUACCGAUUGCGAAGGCGAUCUACUGGAACAUAACUGACGCUCAGAUGCGAAAGCGUGGGGAGCAAACAGGAUUAGAUACCCGAGUAGUC
rnacentral:rRNA from 1 species